rnacentral:rRNA from 1 species
GGGAAAGAGCCCAGCCCCUCGGCUAAGGCCCUCAAGCGUGGUUUAAGUUGACAGAACGAGGUGACAUCGCAGAGACAGCUAGGAUGUUAGCUUGGAAGCAGCUAUUCAUUUAAAGAGUGCGUAACAGCUCACUAGUCGAGCGAUGACGCGUGGAUGAUAACCGGGCAUCAAGACCACCGCCGAAGCCAGGGCAUGCUAGCGAUAGCAUGGGUAGGGGAGCAUUCCAAUCGGCGUAGAAGGUGAACCGUGAGGUUUGCUGGAGCGAUUGGAAAAGAAAAUGUAGGCAUAAGUAACGACAACGCAUGUAAAAACAUGCGCACCGAAAGCCCAAGGGUUCCUGGAAAACGUUAAACGUACCAGGGUAAGUCGGGGACUAAGGCGUACCCGAAAGGGGAAGCCGAUGACGAAGCGGUUAAUAUUCC